rnacentral:rRNA from 1 species
CAGUAGCCGCGGUAAUACGGAGGGGGCUAGCGUUGUUCGGAAUUACUGGGCGUAAAGCGCACGUAGGCGGCUUGGUAAGUUAGAGGUGAAAGCCUGGAGCUCAACUCCAGAAUUGCCUUUAAGACUGCCGAGCUAGCAGGUGAGAGAGGUAAGUGGAAUUCCGAGUGUAGAGGUGAAAUUCGUAGAUAUUCGGAAGAACACCAGUGGCGAAGGCGGCUUACUGGCUCAUACUGGACGCUGAGGUACGAAAGCGUGGGGAGCAAACAGGAUUAGAUACCCGCGUAGUCCCUGUCUCUUAUAC